AGUGAACGCUGGCGGCGUGCUUAACACAUGCAAGUCGAACGAGAACGGAUUAUAGCUUGCUAUAAUUGUCAGCUAAGUGGCGCACGGGUGAGUAAUAUAUAGAUAACCUGCCCUCUAGAAAGGAAUAACAGUUGGAAACGACUGCUAAUGCCCUAUAUGCCUUUAAUACAUAAGUAUGCAAGGGAAACGCUUUAGUGCUAGAGGAUGGGUCUGUAUGGUAUCAGCUUGUUGGUGAGGUAAUGGCUCACCAAGGCUAUGACGCCUAACUGGUUUGAGAGGAUGAUCAGUCACACUGGAACUGAGACACGGUCCAGACUCCUACGGGAGGCAGCAGUGGGGAAUAUUGCACAAUGGACGAAAGUCUGAUGCAGCAACGCCGCGUGGAGGAUGACACAUUUCGGUGCGUAAACUCCUUUUAUAUAGGAAGAUAAUGACGGUACUAUAUGAAUAAGCACCGGCUAACUCCGUGCCAGCCGCCGCCGUAA
rnacentral:rRNA from 1 species